rnacentral:lncRNA from 1 species
GGGUGGGACAGCUUAGGCUUUUGAUUUGGGUGAGUGGCUGCUCUGACUGCGUGGAGAUCUGCCUGGGCAUCAAGCAGAGAAGGCCUCAAUCCACCACUAUCUCUGCACAGGAAGGGUUAGGAAACUCAGGCUGCUGGUCCGGGCAAGCAGUUGCUCCAAAUGCAUGGAGUUCUGCCUGGAUGUGGAGUGAAGAGGCCCCCCUGCAUCAGGAUCUCUACACAGGAAGGAUGGCCGUAGCUCAGGCUGCUGAACCAGUGACUUCACACUAACUUAGGAUCAGAUCAUUCUCACUGGACUUUAACAUGCACAUCUUCAACCCAUUGGUGUUCCGGUAAAUGUUUAGCAGCCAUCUCACUGAAAAAUAAAGCCAG